rnacentral:rRNA from 1 species
AACGUAGGACGCGAGCGUUAUCCGGAGUUACUGGGCGUAAAGAGCGCGCAGGCGGUCGUUCAAGUCGGAUGUGAAAGCCCCCGGCUCAACUGGGGAGGGUCAUUCGAUACUGAUCGACUCGAAGGCAGGAGAGGGAAGCGGAAUUCCCGGUGUAGUGGUGAAAUGCGUAGAUAUCGGGAGGAACACCAGUGGCGAAGGCGGCUUCCUGGCCUGUUCUUGACGCUGAGGCGCGAAAGCCAGGGGAGCAAACGGG